rnacentral:rRNA from 1 species
UCGAGCGAAUCGAUGGGAGCUUGCUCCCUGAGAUUAGCGGCGGACGGGUGAGUAACACGUGGGCAACCUGCCUAUAAGACUGGGAUAACUUCGGGAAACCGGAGCUAAUACCGGAUACGUUCUUUUCUCGCAUGAGAGAAGAUGGAAAGACGGUUUACGCUGUCACUUAUAGAUGGGCCCGCGGCGCAUUAGCUAGUUGGUGAGGUAAUGGCUCACCAAGGCGACGAUGCGUAGCCGACCUGAGAGGGUGAUCGGCCACACUGGGACUGAGACACGGCCCAGACUCCUACGGGAGGCAGCAGUAGGGAAUCUUCCGCAAUGGACGAAAGUCUGACGGAGCAACGCCGCGUGAACGAAGAAGGCCUUCGGGUCGUAAAGUUCUGUUGUUAGGGAAGAACAAGUACCAGAGUAACUGCUGGUACCUUGACGGUACCUAACCAGAAAGCCACGGCUAACUACGUGCCAGCAGCCGCGGUAAUACGUAGGUGGCAAGCGUUGUCCGGAAUUAUUGGGCGUAAAGCGCGCGCAGGUGGUUCCUUAAGUCUGAUGUGAAAGCCCACGGCUCAACCGUGGAGGGUCAUUGGAAACUGGGGAACUUGAGUGCAGAAGAGGA